UACGGAGGGGGCUAGCGUUGUUCGGAAUUACUGGGCGUAAAGCGCGCGUAGGCGGAUCUGCAAGUCGGGGGUGAAAUCCCGAGGCUCAACCUCGGAACUGCCUUCGAUACUGCGGGUCUCGAGUCCGGGAGAGGUGAGUGGAAUUCCUAGUGUAGAGGUGAAAUUCGUAGAUAUCGGAAGGAACACCUGUGGCGAAAGCGGCUCACUGGACCAUAACUGACGCUGAGGCGCGAAAGCUAGGGGAGCAAACAGG
rnacentral:rRNA from 1 species